CACCCCCCGCAGAUCAGUACCGAACCAUCCUCAUCUACUUCCCGCACCCCUCCUCUCCUCCCCCCACAGCAGCCAUGGAUGAACAAGACUGAAGAUAGCAGAAACCAAAAUUGGGGAAACCAGAGGAAGAAGACAAAAAUUCUAGAAGAAAUCAUGACGGGCAUUGGAGGCUCUUACCAGGCAAAUGAAGAGAUAUAUGCAGGCGACUACAUUGGUACUCACGUACGAUCCCGCUUGGAAUAAUCUGAUUGAUGACAGAAACAAAGUGAAAACUUACUUGUAUGUUUUGAUUGUAGCCUGUGCGUUCCCAGUACCCUAGAAUCGUGUUUGACCCGUGGCUUUCUCAAAUGCAAGGGAACGGAGCUAAUUUUCUGCAUAUGAUUCCACCUUACUCAUUCGUCUAUCCGGUCCAUCAUUUUGGAACAUCAGCAAAUCCUCUGGCUGCUGUGAGUAACAAUUCAAUUCCGAUGACUGGACAACAUGCUGCCCCAUUUGUCCAGUAGAAAGAAGAUGCAUGGUGUUGUGUCAAGGCUUUGGCAUGAACAUGACAUACACACAAAUGCUAUUUGCUGCUGAAUUAGAGGCUCCUUUAUUUGGUUCACCACACACAGAUCGCUAUCUUGUUUGUGCUGAGAAUGAGACGUUCAUGGUAACUAGGCGCAACACAAGGUUAAGUGACCAAGUAGACAUGGACAUCCCUGGAUCAAGCAACUACCUUGAACAAGAUGAUACAAGCUACUGGGACAACAACAUGAUAGAUUCUCGGGAGGCCAAUUUGUCAUUGCAAGAUAAAAUAUGGAAUGAUGGCAUGCCAGCUGCUGGUGCAGACCUCUUGUGAGGUCUUGACAUUUGUCCUGGAGAGAAUCCAAGUGAUGACGACGCAUGCAGUGAAGAUUCAGACACUGAUCCAACAACCUUUGUCAAUGUGGUUGUUGUUACUGAAGAAGAUGUUGAUCAAGUAGUUGUUGCACAUGAUGAUGAACUGAAUGUGAAUGGUGAUGAUGAGCAAUUGUCACAAGAUGAUAUCAAUAACUUUUUGGAGAAUUAUUCUGCUCUUGCAGCUUAGACUUGUAGCCAGGAGGUUCGCAACCAUCAUGUGCCUCAAAUGGGCAUGGACUUUGAAACGUCAAAAGCAUCACAUACAUUCUACAACGACUACUCUUGGUUGUGUGGUUUUGCUGCACGAAAAGCAUCAAACUACUGUGGGCAGACCAGCACAGGAGGUGGUGAGUCUUGAUGUACUUUUAGAUGCAACCGGGCUGGAAAGGUCCUUGAUGAAGAUGAGCAGGAGGCUAGGAGGAUAAAAAGUAAAGAGCGGUGGCAAGAGCGGACUAGAAAGCUUGCACCCGAGACAAGGAAGAGGUGAAGGAACAUUAUUGAUGUCACUGGUUGGCAAACUGAACUUGUAGUCAGCAAAAAAAAAGGGAGAUGGUUUAUCACGGACAUAAAUCUGGAGCACAACCAUGACCUGAGUCCACCGGACGACUCAAAGUUUUUGAGGUCCCAUAAACAAAUGAUAGAUGAGGAGAAGUUUUUAGUGAGAACAUUGAACUCAAUCAAAAUACCAACAAGAAAAAUUAUGGACAUUCUAUCAUUUUUACGACAAGGUCCGCUUCCAUACACAAAACAACAUGUGACCAAUGUGAGGGAAUCGAUGAGAAGAGAGAAUGAUAGCAAUGACAUGAUGCAGUUGCUGGACUACUUUAGGGGCAGGCAAGCGGAAGAUUCGAGAUACUUCUACAAGUUUAAGGUUCAUCCGAAAGACCCAAGCAAAGUCCUCUGCAUUUACUGGGCUGAUGGAUACUCAAGGAAAGUGUACAAUCUGUAUGGAGACAGCCUAAGUUUCGACACAACCUACAAAACCAACAAAUACAACCUACCCUUUGCCCCUUUCGUUGGUGUGUCCGGACAUGGUCAAAACUGCUUGUUUGCAUGUGCUAUCAUUCAAGAUUAAACGACUGACACUUUCA